UUUGUAUUACGUGCGGAAAUUGUUAUCAUUUUUGAGUCGAAAAUGGUAACAAUUUCCGCAAGUAAUACAAA
rnacentral:miRNA from 1 species